GCCGCUGCUUCCGGCUCGAAGUCGCGCGUGUAGUGCAGCGGUGUCUCCGUUUAGUCCGGUCCCGGCGGCAUCAUGGUGAAGCCACGCUAUAAAGGCCGCAGCACCAUCAACCCGUCCCGCGCCAGCACCAAUCCCGAUCGCGUGGCUGGCGCGGGCGGGAACAACAUGCGGGACCGAGCCACCAUCCGCCGUCUCAACAUGUACCGGCAGAAGGAGCGGAGAAACAAGCGUGGCAAAGUGAUUAAACCUCUGCAGUAUCAGUCGACAGUGGCACCAGGCACAGUUGCAAGAGUGGAACCAAAUAUUAAAUGGUUUGGCAAUACUCGUGUGAUCAAGCAGUCAUCCCUACAAAAAUUUCAAGAAGAAAUGGAAACUGUCAUGAAAGAUCCAUACAGAGUGGUCAUGAAGCAAAGCAAGUUACCAAUGUCCCUUUUCCACGAUCGGAUUAAACCUCACACCUCCAGAGUUCACAUUCUUGACACAGAAACAUUUGAAACAACAUUUGGCCCCAAAGCACAGAGGAAAAGGCCAAACCUUGCUGCAAGUGAUGUGCAGUCUCUGCUGGAGAACGCAGAAGCCUCAUCAGAAUGUUAUGAUCAGGGCAAAGACAGAGACCUGGUCACAGAAGACACUGGUGUAAGGGAUGAAGCACAAGAGGAAAUAUUUAAGAAAGGACAGUCAAAAAGAAUUUGGGGUGAGCUGUACAAGGUGAUAGACUCAUCUGAUGUUGUUGUUCAAGUUCUUGAUGCCAGAGAUCCUAUGGGUACUCGCUCCCCUCAUGUGGAAUCUUAUCUGAAAAAAGAGAAACACUGGAAACAUCUCAUUUUUGUCCUGAACAAAUGUGAUCUUGUUCCUACCUGGGCUACUAAGCGCUGGGUUGCUGUCCUUUCCCAGGAAUACCCAACACUUGCUUUUCACGCCAGCCUCACAAACCCUUUUGGCAAAGGUGCUUUCAUACAGCUUCUAAGGCAGUUUGGAAAGUUACACUCUGACAAGAAACAGAUCAGUGUGGGAUUUAUUGGGUACCCAAACGUUGGCAAAAGCUCAGUGAUCAACACGUUGCGGUCUAAGAAGGUCUGCAAUGUGGCUCCCAUUGCAGGUGAAACCAAGGUGUGGCAGUACAUUACUUUGAUGAGGCGGAUUUUUCUCAUUGACUGCCCAGGGGUUGUGUAUCCAUCUGGAGACUCAGAAACAGACAUUGUUCUGAAGGGAGUGGUUCAAGUUGAAAAGAUUAAGAGCCCUGAAGACCACAUUAGUGCGGUGCUGGAAAGAGCCAAACCAGAGUACAUCAGGAAGACAUACAAAAUUGAUUUCUGGGAAGAUACAGAAGAUUUCCUGGAGAAGCUUGCUUCUAGGACUGGAAAACUACUAAAGGGUGGUGAGCCUGAUGUGCAGACUGUCAGCAAGAUGGUUCUCAACGACUGGCAGAGGGGCAGAAUUCCAUUCUUUGUGAAGCCACCAAAUGCAGAAGCAGGUUCUGAGCCACCUGCAUUGGAAGGAGCAAUGACAUCAAGCCAAUCUAACAACGAGAAGGAAAUUUCUGAGCCUGUAGCAUCAAGUAUGGAGGCAACAGAAGAGAAGAACAACACAGACACAGAAAUGAAGCAACUCAUGGCAAACGUUCGGCAAAACUUUGGGAGGAUUAAUGUAGCACCUCAGUUCUCAGAAGAAGACCUAAUUCCUGUAGAUGUGCCAGGCUUUGAUGAAACAGACAGCGAUUGUCCUGAAGAGGAGGAACAGGAAGAAGAGGAAGAGGAAAAUGAGCAACAUCAAGAUUCAGUAGAGGCAGAAUCACAGCCAACUGUACCGAGUGCCAAAGAGAGCUCGAAGGCAGUUCUUCAGGCUUUGGAGGAGAAGAUUGCAAAAUGCAAAAAAUUUCUGGAUAAGGCCAAAGCCAAGAGAUUCUCAGCAAUAAGAAUCCCCAAGCAGCUGAGUGAAAAAGUGUUUGCAAAAUCCAUGCAGAAGGCUGAAGAGACCAAAGAAAAUGAAGAGAAAGAGCUGUUUCUUAAACCUCUGCUUGUGAACCCAAGGCUUCACUGCUUCAUGACCUCGCUGUGGCCUUUCUAUAGGACUGUAGGGUCUGGAUAGUAAAACAUGCCCUCAACUACUGAGUGAAGAUAAAGACAAAUGUUGUGCUCUCAGCAGAAUGGUGCUGUGGGUGGUUUGCAGUCUCAGCAACAUCCGUUCCACAUGGUGGCACAGUAAAGAAAAGAAAAAGGAAUAGAGAAGAGGAGGAUGAUGAAGACCACUUGGGUAAACAGCCUUGCAAGAAGCUGAC